CCCUCUCUCUCUCCCUCCCCGCCUCCAUCCUAUUGGUUCUGUUUUUCUGGAGAAUCCUGACAAAUACACCAGAUGAGGAAAUGGGCUCAGAGAGAUUAAAGAGCAUGUCCAAUGUCACAGACUAAAAGAGACAGAAUAACUUAUCAAUCUGUUAUGAAAUAUCACCUUUCCUACAUUGAAGGAAGUGAACUAAAGCUUUGAGAGAUCUGAAGAAGACACUCCAGGGAUGAACAGAGCUUCACAUCCCUAAAUCCACCCUUAAAAUGUUUUGCCUGUUGUCAGGCUCUUCUGUGGACCCACAACUUCAUGAAAAUUCUGUGAGCUGACUUCUCCCCUCUGCCUCAGACAAAGCCCAUAAG